AUUGAACGCUGGCGGAAUGCUUUACACAUGCAAGUCGAGCGGCAGCGCGGGGCAACCUGGCGGCGAGCGGCGAACGGGUGAGUAAUGCAUCGGAACGUACCCCGUCGUGGGGAAUAACUACCCGAAAGGGUAGCUAAUACCGCAUACGACCUGAGGGUGAAAGCGGGGGACCGAAAGGCCUCGCGCGAUGGGAGCGGCCGAUGCCGGAUUAGCUAGUUGGUAGGGUAAAGGCCUACCAAGGCGACGAUCCGUAGCUGGUCUGAGAGGACGACCAGCCACACUGGAACUGAGACACGGUCCAGACUCCUACGGGAGGCAGCAGUGGGGAAUUUUGGACAAUGGGCGAAAGCCUGAUCCAGCCAUUCCGCGUGAGUGAAGAAGGCCUCGGUUGUAAG
rnacentral:rRNA from 1 species